rnacentral:rRNA from 1 species
GACGUAGGUGGCGAACGUUAUCCGGAAUUAUUGGGCGUAAAGGGUGCGUAGGCGGCAUGAUAAGUUAUUGGCGGUAAAUCGAGGCUCAACCUCGUGGAAACUGAUAAUACUGUUUUGCUUGAGUACAGGAGAGGUUAACGGAAUUCCAUGUGGAGCGGUAAAAUGUGUAGAUAUAUGGAAGAACACCAAUAACGGCGAAGGCAGUUAACUAUUCUGUUACUGACGCUGAGGCAACGAAAAGCGUGGGGGAGCAAAACGG